rnacentral:rRNA from 1 species
CAGGCCUAACACAUGCAAGUCGGACGAGGUAGCAAUACCUAGUGGCGAACGGGUGAGGAAUGCUUGGGAAUCUACCGUGUAGUGGGGGAUAACGUUUCGAAAGGAACGCUAAUACCGCAUACGUCCUACGGGAGAAAGGGGGGGAUCUUCGAACCUCUCGCUAUACGAUGAGCCCAAGUCGGAUUAGCUAGUUGGUGGGGUAAAGGCCUACCAAGGCGACGAUCCGUAGCUGGUCUGAGAGGAUGAUCAGCCACACUGGGACUGAGACACGGUCCAGACUCCUACGGGAGGCAGCAGUGGGGAAUAUUGGACAAUGGGGGCAACCCUGAUCCAGCCAUGCCGCGUGUGUGAAGAAGGCCUUCGGGUUGUAAAGCACUUUAAGCGGGGAGGAAGGGCGCCUGGAUAAUACCUGGGUGCAUUGACGUUACCCGCAGAAUAAGCACCGGCUAACUCUGUGCCAGCAGCCGCGGUAAUACAGAGGGUGCAAGCGUUAAUCGGAAUUACUGGGCGUAAAGCGCGCGUAGGCGGUUAUGCAAGUUGGAGGUGAAAUCCCCGGGCUCAACCUGGGCACUGCCUUCAAAACUGCAUGGCUAGAGUAUGGGAGAGGAAGGUAGAAUUCCAGGUGUAGCGGUGAAAUGCGUAGAGAUCUGGAGGAAUACCGAUGGCGAAGGCAGCCUUCUGGCCUAAUACUGACGCUGAGGUGCGAAAGCAUGGGGAGCAAACAGGAUUAGAUACCCUGGUAGUCCAUGC